UCCCGGUGGGCUUUGCCAAAUAAACAGCUCAUCUGUAUAAAGAUGUGGCCUUUAUCUAUUAGCACAGAGGGUGACAGCCGUCCUGGGCAUUAAAAUGGACGGACGAUUGGAAUUAAGGCCGAGUGAAUGGCACUACUGAUCACACGGCUGUUUGUUAUACUUGUUCCCGGUGAGGCUUCGGGUACCGGCUUCCAGAACACCCACUGAAGUAGGUCUACAGUGAUGAGCCUGAGCACGAGACAUACAUGUUGAAAUCCUCUGUGUUUACUGCGACGAUUCAGCCCAGCACUGGUGGCCCAACUUGAGGCUGACCUCCAGAGACAGGAACCACACCUUCCUCACUCUGCGUCGGUGCAACUCCAGAGGUGACCCCACAGCCCUAGACAUUGCAUGUGACCCGUCCAUGCCACGGUGACCGAGUUCAGAGAAAGGCGCAACAUCUAACCCAGGUCUGGAGCGUGACGCCUGGGACUUUGCUGGGAUCGUUAGGAAAGGGGAACUGUCUGAACUGAGAGGAUGGGAGUCUGGAACUGCCGUCAGCCAUCUCACUGCCAUUCAGCGACAGCCUGCCCCUGAAUGAAGCCAAAGCAAAAGACAGCAAAGCUGAGCCGGGGAGAGAGACAGACACUGAGUACCUGUAUCUAGAGACACCUGUAACUAGAGCUACCCCAGAUGUGUUGGUAAUCUGAACCAAUAAAGUUCUAUUUUUUAUUAAGCCA